rnacentral:rRNA from 1 species
AGUGAACGCUGGCGGUAGGCCUAACACAUGCAAGUCGAACGGCAGCACAGGAGAGCUUGCCCUCUGGGUGGCGAGUGGCGGACGGGUGAGGAAUACAUCGGAAUCUGCCCAGUCGUGGGGGAUAACGUAGGGAAACUUACGCUAAUACCGCAUACGACCUUCGGGUGAAAGAGGGGGAUCGCAAGACCUCUCGCGAUUGGAUGAGCCGAUGUCGGAUUAGCUAGUUGGCAGGGUAAUGGCCCACCAAGGCGACGAUCCGUAGCUGGUCUGAGAGGAUGAUCAGCCACACUGGAACUGAGACACGGUCCAGACUCCUACGGGAGGCAGCAGUGGGGAAUAUUGGACAAUGGGCGCAAGCCUGAUCCAGCCAUACCGCGUGGGUGAAGAAGGCCUUCGGGUUGUAAAGCCCUUUUGUUGGGAAAGAAAUCUUUCAGGCUAAUACCCUGGGAGGAUGACGGUACCCAAAGAAUAAGCACCGGCUAACUUCGUG